GCGUACACUUGUCACAUCCAGAAGCGCCCGUGGACCUGGGGAAAAACACCUUUGUGAUCCAGACUGGAGGCUUACUUAUAUUUGGCCAAUUCCCAUGGAAAUAAAAUAUUCUGUGUAACUUGCCGUUGUCCAAAACGAACACCGAGUUUAACAACACUUUUCUCUUCAUAUAGUUUAUAUUUGGCCCAACUUCUUUUGAAAGGUUCCCUUUUUUAAACCUCAUUUUGAUAAAUCAAAUAGGCCUUUCUUGCUUAACUCAUUAAUAAUCCCCUAAUUAGUUAAAACAGCAUCAUAGGAAGAUUGGAUGUAUUUAGGUCCAGUCAGAUGUUCUUGGUCCAUUAUACUCCUUAAGUUUCAGGAUCUCCCUAGGCCUGAGGAUUCUAUGUAUAACAUGAAAGCUUUGAACGAGGUCAUCUUUCAGCCGUAUUCUUUUUAAAGACGUCUGAUUCUGUGAAUUCUGUGAUCCACCACCCAUCUUUGCCCACUGUCUUCUUACACCCACUCUUCAUCUCUCCAAGGAAAGGGCAUUGAAAGUAGUAGGAGCAGCCUGGUUUGCCAAAGCUGAUAAUCUCUGUACUCUGUCUUCCCUAGACAGAAGAACUCCCUCUGAACUACUUUUUUCUCCUUGUUAUAGCAGCAGAAACCAAGCAGCAACAGCCAUUGGAGAGAUGCUAAAGUUUUUCUUAACUGAUGUCAACAGUGACAAAGACUUUGAAAAAGUUGCCACUUCUGGCCCGUGCUGCUAUCAUCCUUCCAUUUACCCUUGGACAACCCAGACUGGACAUUAGUGCUUCCCUCUUUAUUCCUGUGAUCUUCCAGAUCAGCACUUGACUGUUUAUUUUCAAGACUCACAAACUCAGCCCUCAGAUCUUCACAUUCUGGUUCUCAGCUGCUCUUGAGUGUAGGUUCCAACAUACUCCAGAGUAGUAUUUUGGCUGUGACAACUCGGACCAUGUUUACCAGAGGAUAUUCAGUUGAGGACUUUUACCAGGGAUCGAAUUCAGGACCUUGAGCUUUCGAGACAGGCACGGUGCCACUGAGCUAAGUCCCCAGCUCAAUAAUGUUAAUGUUUUAAUAAGAGAUAAUGACUCAGUAUGAAGAAAUAACUAAGAAGAAAGUCCAGAAAGAGUCUGGCUCUGGCUUUUAGCUCUGGUGCAGAUUGGUACAAUAAAGAAUGUUCCAAAAUGAACUGAUGAGAGAACUUAGCAUAAGCAUUUGGCCUUGGCACUAUCCCUUUUAGCUCUGGGGUGCUUGUAGCAUUAUGAGAUAGAGCAGGGCCUUGCUCCAGUCUUAAUUCUCCAGUUUUGUUUUUGUUUCUUGUUGCUUUUGCCAUACUGGGGAUUGAAUCCUAGGCCUCACCAUGUGCUAGGCAAGUGCUCUACCUCUGAGCUACAUCCCAGCCCUCCAACUCUAUAGUUUGAAUGGAGCAGCAGUAUCUUAU
ensembl:lncRNA